GGGAUAGCUCAGUCAGUAGCACAUGAGACUUUUAAUCUUGGGGUCAUGGGUUUGAUCCCCACUUUGGGCA